rnacentral:tRNA from 1 species
CAAGAAGUAGUUUAAUUAAAAUAUUAAUUUUGGAGAUUAGUGAUGAGCAUAUGUUUCUUCUUGA